rnacentral:snRNA from 1 species
GGCUGUGAGAGUGGUCAGGCUGGCUAGGCCAGUGACCUCCAUCCCUCACUGCUCCAUGUGAGCCUCUGUGGAAGCUUCAUGCUUGGUCAAAGAGGACGACCUUCCCUAAACAGAGGAUGGCUUUCUGUCAAGGGUAUCCAAAAGCAGCUCUGCUCCCCUGAUGGAACCUCCAAACAACCUCUCAAGAAAGAACACUGCACAUGGUCAGUACAGACAAGACCUUUGUAGGGCCGACUGUGAUUCUGCUGUUGUUUGAACCU